CACCGCGGUUAAACGAGAAGCUCAAGUUGACAAACAACGGCAUAAAGCGUGGUUAAGGACUAACCCAGACUAAAGCCAAACCCUUUCAAGGCCGUCAUACGCAUCCGAAAGCAUGAAGCCCAACAACGAAAGUGACUUUACCCACCCUGAACCCACGAAAGCUAAGAAA
rnacentral:rRNA from 1 species